ACUCCUACGGGAGGCAGCAGUGGGGAAUAUUGCACAAUGGGGGAAACCCUGAUGCAGCCAUGCCGCGUGUGUGAAGAAGGCCUUCGGGUUGUAAAGCACUUUCAGUAGGGAGGAAGGUAGUGUAGUUAACACCUGCAUUAUUUGACGUUACCUACAGAAGAAGCACCGGCUAACUCCGUGCCAGCAGCCGCGGUAAUACGGAGGGUGCGAGCGUUAAUCGGAAUUACUGGGCGUAAAGCGCAUGCAGGCGGCCUGUUAAGUCAGAUGUGAAAGCCCGGGGCUUAACCUCGGAAUUGCAUUUGAAACUGGCAGGCUAGAGUCUUGUAGAGGGGGGUAGAAUUUCAGGUGUAGCGGUGAAAUGCGUAGAGAUCUGAAGGAAUACCAGUGGCGAAGGCGGCCCCCUGGACAAAGACUGACGCUCAGAUGCGAAAGCGUGGGGAGCAAACAGG
rnacentral:rRNA from 1 species